GGGGGUAGCAAUACAACCGGCGCACGGGUGAGUAACGCGUACACAACAUACCAUAUACUGGGGUAUAGCUUUGGGAAACUGAAGGUAAUCCCCCAUAACAUUGCGAGAGGGCAUCUGAUUGCAAUUAAAGUUUCGGCGGUAUAUGAUUGGUGUGCGUUUGAUUAGCUAGUUGGUAGGGUAACGGCCUACCAAGGCGACGAUCAAUAGCUGGCGUGAGAGCGCGACCAGCCACACUGGAACUGAGACACGGUCCAGACUCCUACGGGAGGCAGCAGUAGGGAAUAUUGGACAAUGGGCGAAAGCCUGAUCCAGCCAUGCCGCGUGAUAGAUGAAGGCCCUCUGGGUUGUAAAUAUCUUUUAUCUGGGAAGAAACAAUCUUAUUCUUAAGAUCUUGACGGUACCAGAGGAAUAAGCACCGGCUAACUCCGUGCCAGCAGCCGCGGUAAUACGGAGGGUGCAAGCGUUAUCCGGAUUCACUGGGUUUAAAGGGUGCGUAGGCGGAUUAAUAAGUCAGUGGUGAAAACCUUCAGCUUAACUGGAGAACUGCCAUUGAUACUGUUAGUCUUGAGUACGGUCAAGGUAGGCGGAAUGUGUAAUGUAGCGGUGAAAUGCUUAGAUAUUACACAGAACACCGAUUGCGAAGGCAGCUUACUGGGCCAUUACUGACGCUGAUGCACGAAAGCGUGGGGAGCGAACAGGAU
rnacentral:rRNA from 1 species